GGGCGGUUAGCUCAGGUGGCUAGAGCGUUUGCUUGACAUGCAAGAGGUCGCAGGUUCAAGUCCUGCACCGCCCA
rnacentral:tRNA from 1 species